GGCUCACGCCUGUAAUCCCAGCACUUUGGGAGGCCGAGGCGGGCGAAUUGCCUGAGGUCAGGAGUUCCAGACCAGUCUGGCCAACAUGGAACGAGGGUAGCAACAAGGGAGUUAGGCAUUCACGUCCUUGAGUCUGCAAAUUAAAGGUUGGGUGGCUGGGCACGGUGGCUCACGCCUGUAAUCCCAGCACUUUGGGAGGCCGAGGCAGGCGGAUCACGAGGUCAGGAGAUCAAGACCAUCCUGGCCAACAUGAUGAAACCGGGUGUGGUGGUGGGCACCUGUAGUCCCGCUACUUGGGAGGCUGAGGCAGGAGAAUGGCGUGAACACGGGAAGUGGAGCUUGCAGUGAGCGGAGAUCGCGGGAAAACAGCCAAGCCUACUAGGGUUGGGGGAGCAUCAAUUGAUUGAAAGGCCCGUUUUCGGCGAGGUGCGUGGCUCAUCCCUGUAAUCCCCCUGUGAUCCCAGCUACUUGGGAGGCUGAGGUAGGAGAAUCGCUUGAACCAAGGAGGCGGAGGUUGCAGUGAAUCGAGAUUGCACUCAAGUGAUCCUCCCGCCUCAGCCUCCUAAGUAGCUGGAACCAAAGUGUGUGCCACCAUGCCUGGCUAAUUUUUUAAAAAAAUAUUUUUAUAGAAAUGCACACAUACCACAAAGUGCCACCCGUGUCAAUCAUGAAAGUCCGCACUCAAACUGACACCCAAAAUUGAUAUCCCAGGAGUCUGAGUUCAGCCUGGGGAACACAGUGAGACCCUAUCUCCAUUUUAAAAAUUCGGUCUAUCUCUCUAUCCAUAUAUAUAUAUAUAAUAAAAUAAAUAAUGAAUACAUGAAUGUUCCACAUCCUGAUACCCCAUGGUCAGUCAGUACCUGGAUUAGCUCCACAUCUGGUUUAUGGGACUUUUCCUUCAGCUCCUCAUACAUUCCUUUUAAAAUCUCCCUCUCAUGGGCCAUUCUGGCAUCGCUUUUAUGGAGUUGUGUUGCUUUACUAGUGUGUCUGUUACUUCUACUAGAUUGUGAGGUCUGGUUGAAAGAACUUCUCCUUUAUUGUAUCUCUGCCUCCACUCUCAUGGCCUGACCUGGAUUUUACCAUUAUAGAAAACUGCUAAUCACAAAGUCUGCAAUCAGAAAGUCAAGAAUCUUGCUUUAUAAUCAAUGUUUCCUUUCUUUUUAGAUUGGUUUUUCUGUAUAUGAGUUUAAAUCUGUCUGAUUACCUUUGGAUCACAGUUUAUUACUCUCUGUGGUUCUUGCAAUUUGGGGGCUUCAUCUUUUUUAACACUUCUCUUACUUCAGAUCUUCUAGUGCAUAAUUUCAAAAAUUUAGCACAAAAGGUAAGAAAGCAGAGUGCAGUGGCUCAUGCCUGUAA
rnacentral:lncRNA from 10 species